AUUGAACGCUGGCGGCAGGCUUAACACAUGCAAGUCGAGCGGGGGAAGGUAGCUUGCUACCGGACCUAGCGGCGGACGGGAGAGUAAUGCUUAGGAAUCUGCCUAUUAGUGGGGGACAACAUCUCGAAAGGGAUGCUAAUACCGCAUACGUCCUACGGGAGAAAGCAGGGGAUCUUCGGACCUUGCGCUAAUAGAUUAGACUAAGUCGGAUGAGCUAGUUGGUGGGGUAAAGGCCUACCAAGGCGACGAGCUGUAGCGGGUCUGAGAGGAUGAUCCGCCACACUGGGACUGAGACACGGCCCAGACUCCUACGGGAGGCAGCAGUGGGAAAUAUUGGACAAUGGGGGGAACCCUGAUCCAGCCAUGCCGCGUGUGUGAAGAAGGCCUUAUGGUUGUAAAGCACUUUAAGCGAGGAGGAGGCUACUCUAGUUAAUACCUAGGGAUAGUGGACGUUACUCGCAGAAUAAGCACCGGCUAACUCUGUGCCAGCCGCCGCGGUAA
rnacentral:rRNA from 1 species